rnacentral:rRNA from 1 species
UGCUAAUACCGGAUACGAAGUCUGUGCCGCAUGGUACGGAUUUGAAAGAUGGCCUCUGUUUACAAGCUAUCGCCGGGGGAUGGGCCUGCGUCCGAUUAGCUGGUUGGUGGGGUAACGGCCUACCAAGGCGACGAUCGGUAGCCGGUCUGAGAGGAUGAACGGCCACAUUGGGACUGAGACACGGCCCAGACUCCUACGGGAGGCAGCAGUGGGGAAUCUUCCGCAAUGGGCGCAAGCCUGACGGAGCAACGCCGCGUGAGUGAGGAAGUUCUUCAGAACGUAAAGCUCUGUUGUUCCUGACGAACCUCCCUUCUAUGAACAACGGAGGGGACUGACGGUAGGGAACGAGGAAGCCACGGCUAACUACGUGCC